AUAAGUUUAGGUUAAAGUAAAACCAGAGAAUUGUGGUUUCUCAAAUUCCUAUGUUUUGGAAAUUUAUU
rnacentral:tRNA from 1 species